rnacentral:rRNA from 1 species
AAUGAACGCUGGCGGCAUGCCUUACACAUGCAAGUCGAACGGCAGCAUGACCUAGCUUGCUAGGUUGAUGGCGAGUGGCGAACGGGUGAGUAAUGCAUCGGAACGUGCCUUUUAGUGGGGGAUAACGUAGCGAAAGUUACGCUAAUACCGCAUAUUCUCUGAGGAGGAAAGCAGGGGGCCUUCGGGCCUUGCGCUAGAAGAGCGGCCGAUGUCGGAUUAGCUAGUUGGUGAGGUAAAGGCUCACCAAGGCAACGAUCCGUAGCGGGUCUGAGAGGAUGAUCCGCCACACUGGGACUGAGACACGGCCCAGACUCCUACGGGAGGCAGCAGUGGGGAAUUUUGGACAAUGGGCGCAAGCCUGAUCCAGCCAUGCCGCGUGAGUGAAGAAGGCCUUCGGGUUGUAAAGCUCUUUCGGCUGGGAAGAAAUCGCACUCUCUAAUACGGGGUGUGGAUGACGGUACCAGCAUAAGAAGCACCGGCUAACUACGUG